AUGCAAACUAUGCUCAUCUCACAAAUUGGUUGCAGCACUGUGGAGGCUGCAGGGUGGCUUUGCCAGUAGGAAGGGCGGAAAUUCCUGAAGAUGUGUUCAUCCAUGUUGCAUCAGCUGCUUGGUGUUUUCAUGGCAUCUCUGCACACGUGUUGGGUUGAUCUUAAGCAGAAAACCAGAAGUGGCAGUGGUCUCCAGAAGAGACCAAGGACCCCAAGCUCUCUCUGACACAAGCAGGAAGGGCACUGUGGUGCAUUGAAAACUUGCUCCAGUAGUGCAUUGCCAGUGCACUAUGCUGCUGUUUCAUCAAGGAGAAAGGAGGUGACCAGCCCGAGAGGAACUUCAUGCUCUACAGUAUGCCUACGGAGAACACCUCAAGGCGCAUCCAAGCAACGUCCUGGAGGCACAGCGCCACCGGAAUCUCAAUCGCCAUUUGGGGGACCUGCUUAAAGUCCUUAAGAAAUGAUUCCACUGUGAGGC